GCAUCUUGGGGGUCGUUUUGGUUGGUAUGUUUCCGGUGGUUGGCUCUCUGCUCGCGCAACAACUUCCACCUGGCAUACCUCUUCAGUUACGCGUCAAGGUUGUAUUUCCUUGAGCACAUUUUGGGUUUCCUGUGUUGCAUACCUAUGCGAUGGUAUUGUUUGGAUCCAUGAAAGUCUUUCUUCGUCUUGCGUCACACAAAUGGCGUGGGACGAACCUAGAAGCAGUCUCUGUGCUCCACCUUGUUGACGCAUAUGUGUUGAUGUUGUGGCCCAUUGAGCAUUGCUUGGUUUUGUGAAUACGGAACAUGACGUGGGCACGGGAUCUAACACGAUCCUUGUUUUGCCCAAGUUGAGCGUUCUCAUUUCUCUGACAUGACUGCCUAGCCCGAAUUGGCUCGUACCACCGGGUGGGAUAUGUUGUUGAUGAGGGAUGUUGGCGUUCUUGCUUCUCUAAAACGACCGCCUAUCCCGUAUUGGCUCGUACCAGCGGGUGGGCUACGUCGAAGAGGGAUGCUACCUGGUUGAUCCUGCCAGUAGUCAUAUGCUUGUCUCAA
rnacentral:misc_RNA from 1 species